rnacentral:misc_RNA from 1 species
UCCGGUUUGGCACCGGCAGUCUCCCAUGAGUCCCCGGCAUGACCCGCUGGCAACAUGGGACAGGGGUUGCGCUCGUUGCGCCACUUAAGGCAACACCUCACGGCACGAGCUGACGACAGCCAUGCAGCACCUGUGCAGGAUCUCCGAAGAGGGGCUCUCGUUUCUGAGAGCUUGCUCCUGCAUGUCAAACCUAGGUAAGGUUCUUCGCGUUGCUUCGAAUUGAACCACAUGCUCCGCUGCUUGUGCGGGUCCCCGUCAAUUCCUUUGAGUUUUAGCCUUGCGGCCGUACUCCCCAGGCGGGGCACUUAAUGCGUUAGCUUCGGCACCGGAGGAGUCGACACCUCCGACACCUAGUGCCCAUCGUUUACGGCUAGGACUAC